rnacentral:sRNA from 1 species
UACCCAUACCACCUGCAUGGAGCUCCUUCCUGUUAGCUUUCUUACCUGUGUCCUCUAGCACCUCCCUGAGACCCCGAGCACAAUCGGGGUCAAGCUCCACAUUCUGUCUAAGGUUCCAUGACCUGCCCCACCCCUCCUUCUGUGGGGAGAUGUCAACAGUCCAAGGGCCCCACUGUGAUACUCUUACGAAGGGUGGCAGCUGCUCAGAGGAAUAGGCAUCCCACGGACCCUCCUCACCAGCACUCGGCUUCCGGCACUGCGCUAUUCUCUGGAAAGAUAACUACCCAUAGUCCUCUGGUGCGUCCUGAACACUCAGUUGGAGGAAGAUUCUGCCUGAGGAGGCAGUGCGAAGAGCCUGGGGUCUGAUGCCCCAGUGGGCGCGCCACGAAGCUUCACCCCAUCACAAGCUCAGAACAUCUUGAGCAAGUUGCCUCAGUUUCCCAUCUGGAGGGUCAGCAGCCUGAAGCUUAAGUCGCAAUGACCGUCAGCCAGUGAAGGUUUGCCAGGAGCCUCCUGACUGCUUCCCACACGGGCUUGAAAUGGAUGCUAAGGACGACAGACACCAUGCUCAGCCCCAAAUGGGACAUCUGCAUCACCCAGGAGUCACUGAACAAGAGAAGGAAAAUGGGGCCAAUACUUGCACCCAAGGAGACAGCGCCAGACUUGGAGUAUUUGCAGGCCUGCAGCUCACUGUGUGGCCCAGGCUGGCCUCAGACUCCUGCCUCUGUCUUCCCAGUGCUGAAAUUACAGGCAUAAGUUGACACAUCUGGAAAGGACGAUUUUUUUUAAAGUCCUGCUCUCCUCUGGCUAUUGUCUUGGACUGUGAGGACUGGGCACUGCAGAGGCCUCACAUGGCUCUGGGCUAUUUGAUCGCUGUGUGAAUUACCUCAUGAGACCAUCACAGCAGCCCUGGAUGGGUGCUCCAUCUUUCCUUCAGUAGAAGGAGGCGGCGCCCAGUGGGUAAGUGACAGACCCAAGGUCACUCAGCCAAGUAGUGAAGCAGGAACGGACCUCGGCACCCACGACUCUACUGGGCCCCGCAGCCCUGUGUGCUCCCUCCCGCAGCAGGCCUCAGCUCCCUCCACUGUGGUAACCCAAGUGCUGCCAAACAUGGCUUCCUCUCACCAUCUGGGCUACCGUCUCUCUGUUCUCUGCCCGUUUUACAGAUGAGAGGCCCAAGCGUCGAGGAACUCAGGCCAAUCCCCAGUGUAGAAAGCUGCACAGUCACGUUCAAAUGCCACUCCACCUGACUGGGAACCUGUUUCCUUCCCACCAUACCUGUCAAACAAGUGGACUCACUCGGAGCUCCAGUGCUGAGAGCAGGUGGGGCCCCCUCAAGGGAGCUUCUGCUGGCUCUGGCCACAGCCCACUGGAUGGACAGAUGGGUGAAUGGGCAGACAGAUGGACAUACGGACGGACAGAGGCCAGCUGCUUCACUCUGCUCUAAUCACCAGGCCCCUCGGCGGACUCGGUAAAUGCCCCGCUGCUGCUGAGCCGAAGGCUUUCAGGGCCUGCCUGUCACCGUGUUUUACAGCCCUCUUGUUGAAGAGCGGAAUCUGUAUUGAUUUCAGAACAACUCAAGCUGUAAAUUACUGGCCGCGAUCGGCUUGGUAACCCUGAGAUGAGAAUCUAUUGACUGGACCGGGGGCUUAAAUCUAAUUAUCGUCCCAGGAAAACCAUUGGCAGAGCUGCUCAAUGCCUGUGCGGAAGAGAACAGUUAAACAGCCCAGGGCUACGUGGGGGGUGGGGGUGGGGCAGAGAUCUAGAACGAUCCGGGGUCUCUGCGGAGCCUAAGAAACUGCCUUGGCCACCAAUCGAUUGACCUUGAGUCACUUCUGUAAUUACCAACGGCGAUGUUACUACGAUAGCGUGGUGCCCCAUGGCUCUGGGGCCUGGGCACCUCAUGCAGCCUGUUGUUCAGCUUCCUCAAACCAGUUUCUUCAUCUCUACAUAGAGGGAGCCUUGGUGCAUUUCUACCUGUACCUCAGGAAGGAGAGAAAACCGCCAGCCAUGGGAGCGGCUUCGCCCAAGGGCACACAGCUACCUCGGAAUGCAGACCUUAAACCGGUCCCUCACUGCUGGGUGGCUCAAUGGUUAGGGGUGCCUGCCUGCGUGCGGUUACCGGCACCCUGUGCGGUGGCUCACAGUCACCUGGACGUGAGGCGGCGUGCUGGCCUUGACAAGAACGUCAUCCAUGGGCUUCUAUAUCUGAACGCUGGGUAGCUCAGACUGGAGCUGUUUGAAAGGGUUAGAAGGGUUCGGGGGUGUUGCUGGUUGGAGGGAGUCUGUCACUGGGGUUAGGCUUUGAGGUUUUGAAGGGUGAAUGCCAAUCACAGGGUGUCUCUCUCUGACUACAGGUCAGGACGUAGCUCCCAGCCACUGCUCCGUUGCACCAUGGGCCCUGACAUGAUAGUAGCAGACUAAGCGUCCGAAACUGUAACACACACAUGUACACA